rnacentral:rRNA from 1 species
AGAGUUUGAUCAUGGCUCAGGAUGAACCCCUGGCGGCGUGCCUAAUACAUGCAAGUCGAACGCGAGCACUUGUGCUCGAGUGGCGAACGGGUGAGUAAUACAUAAGUAACCUGCCCUAGACAGGGGGAUAACUAUUGGAAACGAUAGCUAAGACCGCAUAGGUACGGACACUGCAUGGUGACCGUAUUAAAAGUGCCUCAAAGCACUGGUAGAGGAUGGACUUAUGGCGCAUUAGCUGGUUGGCGGGGUAACGGCCCACCAAGGCGACGAUGCGUAGCCGACCUGAGAGGGUGACCGGCCACACUGGGACUGAGACACGGCCCAGACUCCUACGGGAGGCAGCAGUAGGGAAUUUUCGGCAAUGGGGGAAACCCUGACCGAGCAACGCCGCGUGAAGGAAGAAGGUUUUCGGAUUGUAAACUUCUGUUAUAAAGGAAGAACGGCGGCUACAGGAAAUGGAGCCGAGUGACGGACUUU